AUGGAAAAGCUCAGUUUAGAGUUUAAAACUCUAAUGCUGGCUGAAAAGAAAGUUCAGUUUAGGGUUUAAAACCCUAAUGCUGAUUGCAUGGAAAAGCUCAGUUUAGGGUUUAAAACCCUAAUGCUGGCUGAAAGGAAAAAGUUCAGUUUAGGGUUUAAAACCCUAAUGCUGAUUGCAUGGAGAAGCUCAGUUUAGGGUUUAAAACCCUAAUGCUGGCUAAAGGAAAAAUUCAGUUUAGGGUUUAAAACCCUAAUGCUGAUUAAAGGAAAAGUUCAGCUUACGGUUUAAAACCCUAAUGCUGACUGGCUGGAAAGUUCAGUUUAGGGUUUAAAACCCUAAUGCUGACUGAAAGGAAAAAUUCAGUUUAGGGUUUAACAACCUAAUGCUGACUGAAUGAAAAAAGUUCAGUUUAGGGUUUCUGAAUGGAAAGUUUAGUUUAGGGUUUAAACCCUAAUGCUGACUAAAUGGAAAAGUUCAUCUUAGGGUUUAAACACUAAUGCUGAACUGAAUGGAAAAAGUUCAGUUUAGGGUUUAAAACCCUAAUGCUGACUAAAGGGAAAAGUUCAGUUUAGGGUUUAAAACCCUAAUGCUGAUUGCAUGGAAAAGCUCAGUUUAGGGUUUAAAACCCUAAUGCUGGCUGAAAGGAAAAGAGUUCAGUUUAGGGUUUAAAACCUUAAUGCUGAUUGCAUGGAAAAGCUCAGUUUAGGGUUUAAAACCCUAAUGCUGGCUGAAA
rnacentral:lncRNA from 1 species